rnacentral:rRNA from 1 species
UUAAGUCCCGCAACGAGCGCAACCCUUGUCUUUAGUUGCCAUCAUUAAGUUGGGCACUCUAAAGAGACUGCCGGUGACAAACCGGAGGAAGGUGGGGAUGACGUCAAGUCAUCAUGCCCCUUAUGACCUGGGCUACACACGUGCUACAAUGGGCAGUACAACGAGAAGCGAACCCGCGAGGGUAAGCGGAUCUCUUAAAGCUGUUCUCAGUUCGGACUGCAGGCUGCAACUCGCCUGCACGAAGCUGGAAUCGCUAGUAAUCGCGGAUCAGCACGCCGCGGUGAAUACGUUCCCGGGCCUUGUACACACCGCCCGUCACACCAUGGAAGUCUGCAAUGCCCAAAGUCGGUGGGAUAACCUUUAUAGGAGUCAGCCGCCUAAGGCAGGGCAGAUGACUGGGGUGAAGUCGUAACAAGGUAGCCGUAGGAGAACCUGCGGCUGGAUCACCUCCUUUCUAAGG